AAUCGUCCCAGCAAGAUUCACAGAAACCGGCCCCUCCGCCUGCCACACCCUCCACAGCCCACGACACCAGGCUUGUAAAUGGGAGCCCCACCCGCGAGGGCCUCAUAGUCCUGGACUCUAGGGUCGGGCUGCAGGGACGCAAGCAGGCGCCCCUCAUGCAGGGUGUUGGAUUUCCGGCGGAGAGGGCAGGUGAGGCCCGGGAGACGCAGCACUCACCGAAGUCGAAUCCCUAAGCACGGCCGCCGCCAUCGGAUUGUGAGCGGAGCGGGGCCGGGAGCGGCGGGCGACCCGGGGCGGGAACCCAGGCACGGCUGCCACCAGCGCCAGCGACCCACCGGCUGAUGCGCAGCGGGGCGACCCCCGCUCUGUGCCGGAGGCAGCGUUUCUAACUCAGGCGGCGUGGGCCGAGGUAGAGAACCACCAAAAUUACCAUCUCGGAGCGGUGCCGGAAGUCCCGCCUUACCGUAUGCAACAAACGGAGACAGGGCUGUGUGACCUUUGAGGACAUCGCCAUUUACUUCUCACAGGACGAGUGGGGACUUCUUGAUGAGGCUCAGAGACUCCUGUACCUU
rnacentral:lncRNA from 1 species